CCUACGGGUGGCAGCAGUGGGGAAUAUUGGACAAUGGGGGGAACCCUGAUCCAGCGACGCCGCGUGAGUGAAGAAGUAUUUCGGUAUGUAAAGCUCUAUCAGCAGGGAAGAAAAUGACGGUACCUGACUAAGAAGCCCCGGCUAACUACGUGCCAGCAGCCGCGGUAAUACGUAGGGGGCAAGCGUUAUCCGGAUUUACUGGGUGUAAAGGGAGCGUAGACGGUGCAGCAAGUCUGAUGUGAAAGGUCGGGGCCCAACCCCGGCGAGCCGUUGAAACUGGCGGGCUGGAGUUGGAGAGAAGUACGCGGAAUGCGCGGUGUAGCGGUGAAAUGCUUAGAUAUCGCGCAGAACCCCGAUUGCGAAGGCAGCGUACCGGCUCCACACUGACGCUGAGGCACGAAAGCGUGGGUAUCGAACAGGAUUAGAUACCCUUGUAGUC
rnacentral:rRNA from 1 species